rnacentral:rRNA from 1 species
AACGAACGCUGGCGGCAGGCUUAACACAUGCAAGUCGAACGCAUCCUUCGGGGUGAGUGGCAGACGGGUGAGUAACGCGUGGGAACGUGCCCUUCAGUUCGGAAUAACCCAGGGAAACUUGGGCUAAUACCGGAUACGUGCGAGAGCAGAAAGAUUUAUCGCUGAAGGAUCGGCCCGCGUCUGAUUAGCUAGUUGGUGAGGUAAUGGCUCACCAAGGCGACGAUCAGUAGCUGGUCUGAGAGGAUGAUCAGCCACAUUGGGACUGAGACACGGCCCAAACUCCUACGGGAGGCAGCAGUGGGGAAUAUUGGACAAUGGGCGCAAGCCUGAUCCAGCCAUGCCGCGUGAGUGGUGAAGGCCUUAGGGUUGUAAAGCUCUUUCAGUGGGGACGAUAAUGACGGUACCCGCAGAAGAAGCCCCGGCUAACUUCGUGCCAGCCGCCGCAGUAA